rnacentral:rRNA from 1 species
AACGAACGCUGGCGGCAUGCCUAACACAUGCAAGUCGAACGAGAUCUUCGGGUCUAGUGGCGCACGGGUGCGUAACGCGUGGGAAUCCGCCCUUUGGUUCGGAAUAACAGUUGGAAACGACUGCUAAUACCGGAUGAUGACGAAAGUCCAAAGAUUUAUCGCCAGAGGAUGAGCCCGCGUAGGAUUAGCUAGUUGGUGUGGUAAAGGCGCACCAAGGUGACGAUCCUUAGCUGGUCUGAGAGGAUGAUCAGCCACACUGGGACUGAGACACGGCCCAGACUCCUACGGGAGGCAGCAGUGGGGAAUAUUGGACAAUGGGCGAAAGCCUGAUCCAGCAAUGCCGCGUGAGUGAUGAAGGCCUUAGAGUUGUAAAGCUCUUUUACCCGGGAUGAUAAUGACAGUACCGGGAGAAUAAGCUCCGGCUAACUCCGUGCCAGCCGCCGCAGUAA